GCGUGAAACCGCCCCCAGCCUCGCCGGGGCCGCCUAG
rnacentral:antisense_RNA from 1 species